AACGAACGCUGGCGGCAGGCCUAACACAUGCAAGUCGAGCGCCCCGCAAGGGGAGCGGCGGACGGGUGAGUAACGCGUGGGAACGUGCCUCUUGCUUCGGAAUAGCCUCGGGAAACUGGGGGUAAUACCGAAUGUGCCCUACGGGGGAAAGAUUUAUCGGCAAGAGAUCGGCCCGCGUUGGGUUAGGUAGUGGGUGGGGUAAUGGCCUACCAAGCCGACGAUCCAUAGCUGGUUUGAGAGGAUGAUCAGCCACACUGGGACUGAGACACGGCCCAGACUCCUACGGGAGGCAGCAGUGGGGAAUCUUAGACAAUGGGCGCAAGCCUGAUCUAGCCAUGCCGCGUGAGCGAUGAAGGCCUUAGGGUUGUAAAGCUCUUUCGUGGGGGAAGAUAAUGACUGUACCCCAAGAAGAAGCCCCGGCUAACUCCGUGCCAGCCGCCGCAGUAA
rnacentral:rRNA from 1 species